rnacentral:rRNA from 1 species
AUGGAUGAUUUUGUCUCAUGGCACUUUAACAGAAGUGGGAUUUUUUCUGUUAGAUCGGCUUACCACGAAGAAUGGGAGCACCAGCACGGACGAAAGUUGAAAAUGACAAACUCAGUUCAAGCCUCAAGUACUAGUCCAGUCCGGCGAACCAUUUGGAAAUUGCGUGUGCCGGCAAAAAUAAAAAUCCAUGUGUGGAGAGCUUUGCUUGGAGCCAUUCCCUGUUACGGAGUCCUUGCGAAUAGGCAUAUGAUAACUAGUUCCCAAUGCCCGCUUUGUACAUCCGACUGUGAGAGCAUUAGGCACGCUUUGUUUCUGUGCCCGAGAGUGCAAGAAAUAUGGCGAAUUCUAGGUCUGGCACCCUUGAUCAAUGAGGUAUGUUCAUCUGAAAUGGAAGGGGGGUCUGUGCUGGCGGAUGUGCUACUGUCCAGGAAUCAAAUUCAGUCGUCGGUGGCUGAUGUUAACCGCAAUGAUCUACUGGCCAUAGGUGUCUGGUAUGCACAAUCCAAAGAUACGAGAAUCAAGAGACAUGGAUGGAACAAGCCGUCGGAUGGUCUAGUUAAACUCAAUAUUGAUGCUACGUUUGAUCAAGACAGAGGUACUGGGAGUACGGGUGCAAUUUUACGUGAUGAUGCAGGUUUUUUCUUGGCUGCAUCUUGUGUUGAUAUUCCGUUCGUGGAAGAUGCCGGGACAGCAGAAGCUCGGGGUCUUAGGGAUGGGCUUCUUCUAGCUAAUGAUAUGGGCUGCAACAAAAUGUACGUGGAGGAGGAUUGUAUGGAGGUAAUUGAGAUCAUGCAGAACGGCGAAAAUUCACUCGGCCCAGCAGUGGCAAUCUAUGAAGAAUGCUCUUUUUUAGCUUGCAAUUUUAUUUCAAUAUGUUUUCAUCACUGUCCUAGGGAGGCCAAUAUGGCGACGGAUGUAUUGUCUAGGAACUCGGAGACUUCUCGAACAAUUGUCUGGAAGUCGGAGCCUCUUGGGUUUCUAGUAGACGUUUUAUCAAACAAUGUAUCUUUAUUCUCACAUGGAAUAUAA